AUAGGCGCUAUUUUAUUAGUAAAAGUGUCUGUUCUUAUGAGCUUAAUAUCUGAUACUUCCUGCAUCGCAGGGUCAGAAUAUUAAACUGGGUUUUGGAAAAUGGUGGAGUGCUAGGGGCUUGUUCCAAGUCGGUCAUGGGUUGGCCCUGUAUUGCAGUACCUCCGGGUAUUAAGUUUGUACAC
rnacentral:snRNA from 1 species